GCUACCCCCACUCUCUCCCCCCUCCUCACCCCGACAAUCCCCCCACCAUCCAGCCCAUUCAGCUCCUGCCAGCACCCUCUUGGAUUUUUACCCCUUUAACUGCGACAACUUGGUUUUCUCGGAGCGGCGGUGGACACCGGGAGGUACGGUGAGGUCAAGGUCGUGUUGAGAAAAUACUCCUUCAUUUUAUUUAUUUUUUCCUCUGCUUUAAGAGAUUAUAUUGCAAUUCUGUGUUAGUCCUGUGCAACUUUUCACAUGUCAGGGAAUGUGUAAAGAUGAAUUUUCCUCGUGUUUAGCAGUUCUUUAGACUUUGAAAGUUUGUGCUUGGGCUUUUGACGCAGAGGUUAUUUAUAACUUCAUUAAUGCAAAUGUAGGCGUAAAUAGGUGUGAAACCCAAUUGGAGUUGCACUUUACGGGCUAUGAUUUUAGUUGUGUGUGUGUGUGUGUGUGUGUGUGUGUGUGUGUGUGUGUGUGUGUGUGUGUGUGUGUGUGUGUGUGUGUGUAUGUGUGUGUGUAAACCGUGUUGCCCUCAGGACAAGCAGCGGCCAGCAGCUGUUUGACGCAUGCACGGAGCCUCCACCAGCAGAGCACAAGUCCAGGUUUUUUUUUUCUCCUUUCUCCCACCAGUGUUCACUUUUGUAACAAUCUUAUUUGCAGCAGUUAUUUCUGGGAGCAGUGUUUAUGUUCGCUGUAGGAGCUGCUGUGGCCGCGUGAAGCUGAGCGCACACUACCUGAAGGAAAGGUGCACGAGCCGCAGACUUUCUUUUGUAGGUAUGACUUUUAUGCACCUGUUUGUUUGUUUGUUUGCUGCAGGCGAGGGGAUGCGCUAGCCGUGCGCCCAGAUUAUGAUACGGGCUGAAGAUUAACAGGUAUUUUUUAAACGAUUUUUAUUUGACUCAUGUUGAUUCAUUGACUGAUUUAUUUAAAUUAUUUUAUUGAAUUUUAUUGUAUUUAAUUCAGAAAUACGGAGAAGUAAAUGACGAUACAUAAAAGCGGUUUGUUAUAGCAACGACGCAGCUUAGGAAAAUAUCAGUGUAUUAAUGAGGCCAAUGGGUCACAUAUAAAUAUGAAGGUUUAAUUGAUAUGAAAGCAUUUUUGUAAACAUUAUUAUUAUUAUUAUUAUUAUUAUUAUUAUUAUUAUUAUUAAUAAUAAUAAUAAUAAUAAUAAUAAUAAUAAUAAUAAUAAUAAUAAUAAUAAUUCUAAUGUUUAUUAUCAUUAUUAUGACGCCUACCUUUUUUGUAAGAAUAAGAGAAGGUAUGGUUCUGGGGGUAUUUAUUUGUAUUGAUGAUAUUUUAUUAAUUAUCAAAUUGAUACAGAACACUUUGACUGAUUGUGUUUGGCUGCUCCUCAUACUCUUGUGGUGUCUGGGCCUGUAGCCUGCAUGUCAUAUGGGAAUGGUUUCCGUCGAGUUUGGCUGAAUAAAGGCGGCUUUAUGUUGGAGCCUAUUAAAGAUCCGUGUUGAUGGAGCAACUGCAGUCUGCUGGGAGAUCAAUUCUCUGAACACUUACUGGACAGGAAACACUCAAUUACGUAAAAAAAAUAUUAUUGUUAUUAUUAUUAUUAUAAUUAUUAUUAUUAUUAUUAUUAUUAUUAUUAUUAUUAUUAUUAUUAUUUCUACCUUUGUUAUUUUUCUCUGGUACAAUGACUGCAUAAAUUUUGUUUUUUAUUGUUUUUGUGUUUUGUUCGCUUUUCUUUAUGGUUAACCUGCAGCUUGUAGCUCAUUGUAGUGCACGUGCAAUAACAAUUGAUUUAAAUAAAGGCUCAUCAAACACGUCUCAGGCCUAUAUUGGACACAAUUUGCCGUGGGAUGUUUUCCCCUGAGUUGGAGUGAAAUGAAUCAUUAAUCAAUAAUAAUCAGCAGUAAUUAGCAUACAUUAUUUGUAUAUUAGGUAGUUUGUCUUGGCAUCGUGACGCUGGUAGACUAAUUUUAUUGGCUUAACAGAACGCAGGGAAGCGUGUUAAGUGCGCUUUCAUACCCAAAGGGAGCUUGAAGUGUCAGGAGGUAGCCACUGUGUUCCGGACCUUUUACAUUUACUUUGUAAACUUGUGUUGAAAUGGUCAAAGUUUAUUUAUGCACACACAGAAUCAACAGUUACAUCUCACUAUGGCAGCGCAGGGGUAAAAGUGGCAGAGAAGGAGAGGCAAGUCGAUUAAAAAAAAUGAUGUGAAUAACAGUAAUGGACAAAGGUUUUGUUUAUUCCCUAGUGUCUAAAGGGAGCGUGGGAGCAUGACGACAAGCUGUCAAUAAUCCAUCGCCUGUAUUGAUCGGCGUUAUCGAUACUGUGUCCUUUAUCCAGACUCAUUGAGAGGAAAACUGAAACGAAGUAGUCAGCAGAAGUUUCCUCACUUGUGCAAAUAAUUUCCAUCAGCCACCCGUGACAGUUGGGGCCAGACCUCAAAAUAUUUCUGCACAUCGGGUUGGACAAAUGAUUUCACAUGGCGCAACACCUUUUUAAAGCAGCAAUUAACUGCGAUUACGCGCGCAAAAAGAAGUGUUGCUCUCCGAAACGGGCCCGUUGGGAAAUACUUUUCUGCGUCAUUUCAACGUCGACCUUUAACAGGUUUGUGGCAACGCUGAACGGCUGCGCAGGCGAGUCUCGCGCUCUGAAGAAGGGGGACUUGAUUCCCUCAUUGUGGAUUUUUUUUCCCCCUCCUUUGUCCCGCGGCUGGAGGGAGCGCGUGAGGAAGCAGCACAGGCUCCUUCUCCGGAAGAGAGGUGCGCUGCUGCGCUCGUGCUCAAUUAUCCACACUCAGUUUUAUUAAACCGCCUAAUUAGACUGAGGGGGAUAGAGGGAAAUCAGCUGAAGUAACAACAAACAAACAAAUAAACAAAUAAAAACGAAACAGUGGCAGGACGUUGGGGAAAUUAUUAUUUUUAAAUGUAGAAAUAAAAAAUAAAAAAAUAAAAAAAAUAAAGUUUGGCAUUUACAUAUGGGUCGUAUUAUUAUUUUUUUUUAACCCUUGUUCUUCAUCUUGGAAUUGGCGCUAUAAAGGAUAAAGUGCCGUGUCUUUCUCGGCCUUUGUGCUUGUAUCUCGAGAAAUUGUCACUAAAGCUCAAAAUUUCCCCGUGCAGGUCAUUUAAACCGGCACAAUAAAGAACAUACAGUUUGUGUUGGUUUUGUUCUUUUCUCUGUCUCUCUCUUGAUGAAGCGUUGACGACUUUAUCGCCUGAUGCUACUAAGAGAGAGAGAGAGAGAGAGAGAGAAUGAGAGAGAGAGAGAGAUAGCGCUAUACUCACAGUUAUUGUUGUUUUUGUGUUAUUCAUGAAUGAGGUCCUUUUUUAUGAUGGUACUGUACUUACAAUCAUGAGAAACCAAAGCUGCCACAGCUUGCUCGCACCUUGAAAACCAAUCCCUCUGACUUAUAUCAGUUUAACUUCUGAGGAUGAAAUUCAAGCGGUUGCAGAACAAGCUGAGGUUUGUAGUGAUUAGGCUAUUCAAAUGGAGUGAUAAUAGUAAAUAUACAAAUUUCAUAUUUUUGGUUUCUCGUCAUGUCCGCUUUGAGCGUGCGCUAAUGAAGCGAGGUGCGGUGUGUGUGUGUAGGUAAGGGGGAGGUACAGAAGUACACAUCACUGUGGACUGGUGUGGCCAGACUGCGGUGACUGUACUCCCCACCCACACGCCCACUCACACACACAUAGGCCCCUGAAACCCAAGCUUUAUCCACGGUGGAAAAGGCUCCGGGUCUGUGGAUUAGAAGUUACGCGCAGAUAACAUCGGCCCACAUUAGAUACGUGAAAUGGAGCUCCUCGCGCGGAUGAGGCGGGUCGCGAGACAUCAAACAGCCGCAAUGGGCGCUUUUGAAAGUGCGAGAGCAUUGUAAAUUUGUGAACUGUAAUUCUGCCACAGUCAGUGUAAUAGGGGAAUAAACAAUGUAACGGCAGGGCAAGGCGAAGGGACUUUGGGCUCGUGCACGCAGGUAGACCGUAGAGAAUAUGUGACAGUGACAGUUACACAGUUUCACGUCCACAGAAAUGAAUCAGACAAUAAGACAUUUUCUCUGACCAUCACCCUAAUUUUUCCAGAGAUCGGUAAAAACAAAUCCCCAAAGAUCCGAGAAGUUGAUCAAUGAGAAACAGCAUCUCUUUCUCUCCUCAAGUGUUGGUUUGUAGGGGCCCUCCACCGCGCGCCGCUCCCUCCCUCCCUCUAAUGAAGUCCCCAGAAGCGCACUGUAAAGUUGCCUUUGUAAUUAUUAGUCAUUAAUUGGGUUCAGGACCUUGUGCGUCUCUGGGAAAUGGGAAAUCUGACCGCUAAUCCAGGACGUUUCUUUGGGGCCUUCAGCAGCGUUGUUAACAUGCUGUCAGAGACAGACGGGCUCAGCGCCACAGCUACUGAUAGCACGAAUAUGAAGGUUAGAGGGCAGCGACUGUACACACACGCUGACUUACUCACACUCUGCAAGAGGCAUGUGCUGGAGAGGGGAGUUUUUCAACUGGAGACACAUCUGAAGAGCCAAAAUAAAGAUUAACCUACAUAUAAAAGCUGUCAGUGUAAGUAUAGGGGCGUUUGUUUUGGAGUGUGUUCGAGGUCUUGUAGAUUAUAUACAACUGUGUAAAAGGUAAGCAUGGAUCUUUUGAUCAGAUGACAGGUUUUACAAAAUAAUUGUCAUGAUAUAAGUUAUUCAAAUAAAUAUUUAUGUAUCUGGACUACACGAUGUUAGCCUAUCUUUUGCAGUUUAUCUCCACAAUGAUUGAAUUAUUUGUGUCAGUAAUACCGGAAACGCGCAUUUAGCUGUGAGUGUGUUAAAACACUUCCGAUUCAGCCUGUCAUAUCAAACAAAUUAGAAAAGUCUUCUUUCCUUUUUUUCCCCGAGUCCAGAAUUCUCAUAUUAUAUUUGAUGAUUCUGCCUGAUUUACCCUUUAAAAGCGCCGGUAAAAACUCAGAAAACCAAGAAUGGGCGCAGAGAAAAUCAUCAAUGUUUCGAGAGCAUUUAAAUCACAGACGCCAAAGAAAAAAUGUUUUAAGUUAGACAUUAUGUAGUUGAUAUUUGAAAAUCGCAAUGUCAAAAUAUUUUUUUAUAAAUACUGAGGAAAUCUACCUACGAUUCUUUGAAAAUGUAUACGGUUUAUGAACAAGAUGAAAUAAAGAAAAACAAAGAAUCUGAACCUCCUCCCCAGCCUCAUCAUCCUCGUCAACAUCAUUAUCACCAUCCUCGUAGUCGUCAUCAUCCUCGUAGUCAUCAUUAUCAUCAUCAUCAUCAUCAUCAUCAGUGUUGUUAUUUUUUAAUUAAUCGCUCGUUAAUGUCGCCAUCCAUUCCCCCGCUGAUCAGAGGAGCGAGGAGCCGACAACCCGCCAAACAAACGCACAUUAAAAUAUCGCCUGCAGGCCUGAGUGAAAAUUACCUCGACGUAGAAAUGACCUUAAUAUGAUGUAAUCAAUCACGCUGCCUGCUGGGACACGGAGAAUCAAAAUGUUAAUCUUUUGGUUUGCAGCGGCGGGGGAAAAUGGCCUGUCAUAUAUUACACCUCAGCCAAAGAGCAGACAGUGAAGUAAGGCACAAACGGAGAAAGUCUACAGCAACAAUAUGAGCUUUAUAGUGCAGGGGAAAUAUACUCCAUAUGGACAUGAUGUAUUUACAUUCUGAGGUGGGCUGGAGGCCCAGAGGCCUUCAGGCCUGUGAGCCUUACUUUCUACUUUUUAUUACCUUAGCGAUGCACAAUAGUUUUGAACCAGUCAGAAUAAUAAAACAAACGUUGUAUUUGGCCACUCUGACUGUUUUCUAUCACAACAUUAAUGGUCUGCAGUGAAAUCAUGAAGAUGAUUCUACGGUUGAAAAAAGAAUAUCAUAAAAUCAACGAGGAAUUAAAAUAUAUUCUGGAAUAAAAACAAUGUUUUUAAAAGGUUUGCCAAAAUGUGUGAUAUUUCUCUUUAAAUAUAGUAUAUAUUUAUAAAUAACUCAAACUAUAAUUCAUUCAUUUGUUUAAUUUUGGAAACAAAAAUACAUGUGAAUUCAUUCCACUUUUGAAUUUAAUAUUUUUUCAAUGAAAGGCCUAAUUUCAUGGACACAAGCCAAGGGCACAAGUCUUCACAGGUCUUCUGGUUAAUGGUCUGAUAUCUUAGUUUCAAAAUAAAAUAAAAUCUCAUCACAUGUGGGCUCAAGGAAAUCUGUUAUUAUCAUCAAAUCAAAAAUAACAGCUGCUGUCAGCAACAUCUCUUGCUAAACUUGCUGAGCACUUUCAAGCAGAAGCUCAUAGUUCUACCAAAGACAGGUUUGGAAGUAUUAGCACCAAGAGCAUACAUACAACUUGGCGGGCAACAAGAGGCUCAUGAAGUGCUGAGGCUGGUGCAUGUUAUCAUUAACAACUGUGGACAGAUAGAACCAAGCCCACAAGUGUCCAUUUCACACUCGCCUGGCAUGGUGGUGGGUAGGACUCCAGCCAGCGACCUGACAGCCUUCAGCAGCUCUUUGAAGCACACAAGCUUCUGGGAUUUCUGGUUCACAUCUUUGAAACACACCUCCUUGAAGGUUUUCAACCUGAGAUGUGUGUUCUCACCUAAAGGGGAAAAAAAAAAAACUGAUCAGGGAGUUAGUUCCUUUUACUUGAAUUUUAAUCAGGGCCUUUGCAGCGGUCGCCCCUAGACUCUGGAACAGUCUCCCCGGCCACAUUAGACCCUCACAGACCCUAGAGAUUUUGAAAUCGUCCCUAAAGACCCACCUUUUCUCCAUGUGUUUAAUAAAUGAGCACACACAAAUCUUAGGCACUGUAGCUUUUAUUCUGUUACUCUCUGUAUUUUAUUCCAUUAAAAAAAUAUGUUUUAUUGUCAUCUAUUUAUUUACUUCUUUUAUUUAUAUUGUGUACAGCACUUGGAUUGGCUGCUGUCUUCUUGAAGGUGCUUUAUAAAUAAACGUUGACUUGUCAUUCUUGCACAGCUGCUGGGCUUUCAAAAGUAGAAAGAGAAAUGUGGGGUAAAACUGUAUAAAGAAAGUAAAUGUAUCUGUAACUGUACGGAUGCUAAGAUGUGUGCAACAGAUUUAAAGGCAGAGUCAGAUUUAUCCAUUAUAAUGAUGGGGCAGAUUUACAUCUAAGUGUUAAUAACUGAUAGAAAUGUCAACAUGUUCUUAUGGAUCUGUGCUAAAAUAAAAAAAAAAAACAGUCACCUUAGCAAAAGAAGCUAAGUGCAAAAUGUUUUUCUCUAAAAUAAAUUGAAUGGCUGAAACUGUUCACUGCUUGAAAUUCAACAAAUUAUUUGAGAAAAUAAAAAUACGAAGAGAGUCGUUCUCCUCCCAGCAGUCCUGGCUCCCACAGAUUCCAUAUGAGCGAGUGAAACAGCCCUAAUGUAUUAUACAACUGUAUGUGGGGAGUGACGUCACUGCAGCCAGCUACAGAGGGGCCCCUACAAUACAACAAAACACACACACACACACACACACACACACACACACACACACACACACACACACACACACACACACACACACAUUGUGGUAAAAAAAAAAAAAACUGGGGGGGGGGGGCAGUUUUGUAGCAUUUACUCCGCCCAGGCCCAAAGAAAAUUUAAUGCUGCAUCACGCGCAGCAUGGACUCACUGGACAUGUUUCUGAACAAUAUCAUCUGCAGUUUGUUUAAAAUGUCAUUGGAAAAAAAAAAGUUUAAAUCAAAGAUUCCUUGUUAGGAUCGCUCAAACUGGUAAAGUCGGAGUAGAUCUACUUACCAGUCAUAUGUUUCUACUGUCAAUAAUAAACACAGACCUACAGUCCAAGAGGGAUCUCAUCAAAUCACGAAAACCACUGGAACUCCAUCUGAUACACAUCCACACAAAAGCACACACUUAACCCAAUCUAGACUCUGUACUGCUGUGUAGUUUACACAGAGGCAACAUUUUCAAGUUAGCCUCUUCUCCCCACAGGAAUAGAGGACUUCCACACACAAAGAAAAGCCAACUUAGGCCAAGCAGCAAACUUAUACAAUAAUGAGGCUGACAUCACAAAGGAAACAACCCGUAAAACACCAAACGCUCUACAGCCCAACAAAGCCCAAUAAAGGUCUCAACGACUGAAGCACAAACACUGUAGAGGAGCAAACAAACCCGGGAGCUCUCCUGCACCGUUUCCAUAGAGAUUAGUUUCCCAUUCUCGCUUUGUGCCCUAUAGCUGUGCACUGACCAGCUUUGUUAUUCAUUUGUUUGUUGGGUUGCAGUGUAUAUGUGUGGCAGUGGUGGUGCGUCUGUGGCGACAAAGCAUACGUGUGUGUGUUGCUGGACUGACAGAAUGAUUAAUACGAGCUCCAACCAGGAGAAGGAGAAGGGGGGGAAUGAUGGAGUUUGUAUGUGGGGUUGGAGGUGGGGGCUGGGUUGAGUUUUAGCAACACAUCCAAAACAACAGCAUUUCUCUGUUUCCUACUGCUUCCUCUGCAGGACCACAACACUCUCUGAACUCUCCUCCACCACAGCACACUACCCCGAGAUGAAGAAAAGAGUUCAUAAAGACGGACACGUCUACACAAACAGGGGGCAUGGGAGAAGUGAAUCAGAUUGUGGAUUACAGUCUAGAGAGGGGUAGGGGGAGGAAACAUGCAGUGGGAUUUCAUGGUUCAUCUGAGUGCCUGGUUGUUUGCAGGCAGUGAGCGGCUAUUGCUGAAAUGGCAAAUAGCUUCAUGUAAAAUCUGGAUAAAUAUUGACUCUGGACAUAAUUCGCUUAUGACAGGUAUAGCCAAAAAAUGGUGGCAGAGGGAUGACAGAGACGGGCGAAGUAGAGGUGCUGAAAGAAGGAAAGCAGGGAAGACACAAAACUGUUUUUGUACAUUAGCUAAAGUAAGGAAAUCACAGCAAAAGGAGCUCCUUCACAAAGAGCUUACAAAUCAAGCGCCGUGUGAAGGAGCUCAUCUUCACUAAAGGGAUCAAACCAUGACAGAGUUUUUAUGGGUGAUAUCAGUUUUAAAGAAUUAAGUCAUUGAUCUUAUGUUUUGACUGAUUACCUUUAAAGCUUUCAAUGGCUUUACCCUAAAUACAUCAAAUAAUUUUAAUCCCUCUUGCCUCUGCAUUCUCUUACAUCAGUAGAUGCAGCAUUGCAGGUUGUUCACAGCUCCUGGCUUUGAACCAAAGGUGACCAGGCCUUAAGUUGUGUGGACACCCCCAGAAUUCUUGGUGGAUCACUAAAAGAUAAACUUUAUUUUAUGAAUACUUCAAUUAAUUUUUGUUUUUGAUUGUCUUUUUUUACUUCCAUAUUUACCUGUGUUCCUUUUAUUGUUCUGCCUUUUUGAGAAGCUAUAUCCUUUUUUUGAAAGAGUUAAGUUUAUGAACAUUAUCAUAUCCCACUGGAGUGCUCAAAGUUAUACAAAAGUCUGGACAGGAGAGUCAAAUACAACUAAACAACAAUCUCCUCCAUACAUGUAAAGAGAGGCUAAGAAAGACUGCCCUCCUGUGUCAGACCCACAACUACAUGUUGCACAAUAAUCUUACAAGCAUCUUUCCCUUUAUUGACUUUGACCUCCUUUAUGGGGCCAAUUACAGCGCGGAGUAUACUGUACAAAACCUGUGUGUCUACAUUAAAAGCACUCUGAAAAGCG
rnacentral:lncRNA from 1 species